AAUUUCAUCCAUAUGUUUUGUUAUCUCAUUUUCUGCUUUGUCUCAGCAAAUCCUUAUGUAUUGCACCUGCAGCUUCAUUUUUGUAUUAAUGAUCAAAUUUCUUGUGUUAAUUGAACUCUAAUAAUACAUCAUCAUGAUGCAUAUGGGAUUGCGGUUGCUUCUUUGCCCACUUAGUUCUAACAUUGUGAUUCGAUCUGCAUGUGCAAGAUAUCAGUGCAUAUGCGUUAGAAGAUAGUCCAAGGUCCAUAUCAAUCAUUCCGUGAUGGAUUUUUUAUGGGAGGCAUGUCUCAGGAUUUCCUGGGUGAUGAUUUUAAAAGACUUUCAAGCAAGCAUGACUCUACAAUUACACACACUCUCAGUUGUUAUAUAUUAGUAGCAUUAUGUUGUUAGGGACAUUGAUCGAGUGUAUUAUCCUGUUCUUUUUUGGGGGGUCCUGCAAUUGGAUCUAAUUUUCUCCAAAUCAAUUUUCUUUUGCCACUGUUUUUCUUGUUGCUUAAUUUCUGUUUAUCAUGAUUGUGAAUUCAAUUAUAUCGCAGCUCAUAACGUUGUAACCGGAAAAGCACCCGUAACUGACGAUGAAGAGCAGCAGAAAUUCGACACGUAUAACCACAUGACUAGAAAGACGGGCUAGAAAUGCCAGUCAGCAGAAGGUCCAUCACGGCCUCAUAUAAUUCAGGAGCAGAGCGGCCGAUUUCACACCAUGACAUAGACAAAA